CAGCAGCCACGGGAAUACGAAGGGUGCAAGCGUUAAUCGGAAUUACUGGGCGUAAAGCGUGCGUAGGCGGUGAGUUAAGUCUGCUGUGAAAUCCCCGGGCUCAACCUGGGAAUGGCAGUGGAUACUGGCUCGCUAGAGUGUGUCAGAGGAUGGUGGAAUUCCCGGUGUAGCGGUGAAAUGCGUAGAGAUCUGGAGGAAUACCGAUGGCGAAGGCAGCCAUCUGGCCUAAUACUGACGCUGAGGUACGAAAGCAUGGGGAGCAAACAGGAUUAGAUACCCCUGUAGUCCCUGUCUCUUAUAU
rnacentral:rRNA from 1 species